rnacentral:rRNA from 1 species
GAUUUUGUCCUGGCUCAUGAUGAAGCUAACGGCAGGCCUAAUACAUGCAUGCGACGGGGAAACAAUGUCACCGUCGUACGGUUGCGUAACGUGUAUGCAUUCUCCCAACCACUGGGGGAUAGCCCGGGGAAACCCGGAUUAAUUCCGCAUGACACAGGGGGCCCGCAUGGGUCUAUUUGUUAAAGAUUUAUCGGUGGUGGAUGGGCAUGCCUUCUAUUAGCUAGUUGGGGGGGUAACGGCCCACCAAGGCGACUAUCGAUAGGGGAGCUGAGAGGUCGAUCCCCCCACACGGCCACUGAGAUACGGGCCCCCACUCCUACCGGAGGCACAAUUAGGGAAU